CGCUUUAAGGGGGGGGUCUGGCCCUUUAAGAGGGGGGUCUGGCCCUUUAAGUGGGGGUGUGGCCCUUUAAGUGGCAGUGUGGCCCUUUAAGGGGGUGUUUGGCCCUUUAAGAGGGGUGUCUGGCUAUUUAAGGGGAGGGUCUGGCCCUUUAAGUGGGGAGUCUGGCACUUUAAGGGGGUGUUUGGCCCUUUAAGUGAGAGUGUGGCCCUUUAAGUGGGAGUGUGGCCCUUUAAGGGGGUGUUUGGCCCUUUAAAUGGGAGUGUGGCCCUUUAAGGGGGAGUCUGGCCCUUUAAGUGGGGAGUCUGGCCUUUUAAGGGGGUGUCUGGCCCUUUAAGGGGGAGUCCGGCGCUUUAAGUGGGAGUGUGGCCCUUUAAGGGGGUGUUUGGCCCUUUAAGAGGGGUGUUCGGCCUUUUAAGGGGUUGUUUGGCCCUUUAAGGGGGUGUUUGGCCCUUUAAGGGGUUGUUUGGCCCUUUAAGGGGGUGUUUGGCUUUUUAAGGGGGGUCUGGCCCUUUAAGAGGGGUUUAUGCAUCUUCAGUGGGGGCAUCUGGCCCUUUAAAAUCAACAGGGUUAAGCUUUGAGGGGCGCCUGGCCCUUUAAGAUCAAUAGGAUUUGGCUUUUAGGGAUGCCUGGCCCUUUAAGACUUCCAGGCUUGGUGUUUUAUGGGGGUCGCUGUCCCUUUAAGAUGAAUGGGGUUGGGCUUUUAGGGUGGCCUGUCCCUUUAAGACGAAUGGAGUUGGCCUUUUAGGGUCUCCUGUCCCUUUAAGAUGAAUGAGGUUGGGCUUAUAGGGUCGCCUGUCCCUUUAAGAUGAAUGGGGUUGGGCCUUUUAGGGUGGCCUGUCCCUUUAAGAUGAAUGGGGUUGGGCUUUUGGGGUCGCCUGUCCCUUUAAGAUGAAUGGGGUUGGCCUUUUAGGGUCGCCUGUCCCUUUAAGGUGAAUGGGGUUGGCCUUUUAGGGUGGCCUGUCCCUUUAAGAUGAAUGGGGUUGGGCUUUUAGGGUGACCUAUCCCUUUAAGAUGAAUGGGGUUGGGCUUUUAGGGUGGCCUGUCCCUUUAAGAUGAAUGGGGUUGGGCUUUUAGGGUCGCCUGUCCCUUUAAGACAAAUGGGGUUGGGCCUUUUAGGGUCGCCUGUCCCUUUAAGGUGAAUGGGGUUGGGCUUUUAGGGUGGCCUGUCCCUUUAAGAUGAAUGGGGUUGGGCCUUUUAGGGUGGCCUGUCCCUUUAAGAUGAAUGGGAUUGGGCUUUUAGGGUCUCCUGUCCCUUUAAGACGAAUGGGGUUUUGCUUUUAGGGUGGCCUGUCCCUUUAAGACAAAUGGGGUUGGGCUUUUGGGGUCGCCUGUCCCUUUAAGAUGAAUGGGGUUGGCCUUUUAGGGUCGCCUGUCCCUUUAAGAUGAAUGGGGUUUUGCUUUUAGGGUGGCCUGUCCCUUUAAGAUGAAUGGGGUUGGGCUUUUAGGGUCUCCUGUCCCUUUAAGAUGAAUGGGGUUUUGCUUUUAGGGUCUCCUGUCACUUUAAGAUGAAUGGGGUUGGACCUUUUAGGGUCGCCUGUCCCUUUAAGGGAGCCCCCCCUGUGGGGCCACCAUCUGUGUCCCCCCCCCCCACUGUGACCCCAAAUGUCCCCCCGAAACCCCCCCCAAAUGACCCCAAAUGUCCCCCAAUGUGAC
ensembl:lncRNA